rnacentral:tRNA from 1 species
GGGGUUGUGGCUCAGUGGUAGAGCUCUCACUUCACACGUGUGAGACCCUGGGUUCGAUCCUCAGCACCA